rnacentral:rRNA from 1 species
UCUAGAUUUGAUGUGGUGUAGGAAUGUUAAUAGUAAUAGUGAAAUGUAUAUAGAAUUGGUAUAAAAUAAAUUGGAUAUUGGUAGCUUGAAAAGGUAGAUAUUCGAUUCACGAAAGCUUGAGGUGUGACAGGGAUUUGAGACCCCUUUAAUUCGAGACUGAAAUUAUGCAGGCAAUGUUUGUGGAUCUCUUUUUAACAAAUAAAGGUUCUUUUCCUAAGGAGUACGCUUUCACUUGUGAAACUUAAAUGUUCUGGUGGUGGUUUAGAACAAUAGUGGAAUAGAUGAUUUAAUUCGAUGAAAUGCGAUAAAGCUUAUCUGUUAUCUGAAAUAAUACCUAGGUAUAGGUAGAAUUCUAUUCGAGGGAGUGCAUGGCUGUUGGAGGGUAAUGUUUUGUAAUAUCUGGUUUCGGACAGGAAUAGCCGAUACACUUUUAGUUGUUAUAGGUCUUUUGCAUCUUUUCAUAUGGUCUUUUAGAUAGAAUAACGUCGAGUCAUUAUGCUCUUUAGUUCGGAGAUAUUCAUGUGUUACUAGGAGAGGUAUAUAG